UGGCGUUGACUCCAAUUCAAGAAUCACGACUUCANGACGGCUCCGUAAAAUCCAGGGGACACUCGCACUCCUCCCGCCGUCGUCUCUCCGCUGACUCCGGCAUUGACGACCCGGUAUCGUAACCCAAGUGCAUCCAACCGCCGUUGUAAUUGAGCGGGGUAGGUCUCAUCCGCGGCGACGCCAAGUCCGGCCGUCAGGCUGUCUCCGAACGCGACGAUUUUUGGUCGAUCAUCCGCUGAUGGUGGCGCGGCAAGAGGCACGGCGGUGAACACACCCGUCAACCACACCAGAACAAUGCACCCAAUACCUGCGCGUCUCCCCGGUGAUUGCAAUUUCAAUCGUCGCUCCAUCUCCGUACAGUAUAAUACCAUCUCGCGAACCGUCCCCCGUUGGGGAGGAAUACCACGACACAUGAUUUGCGUCACACAGCUUUCAAUGCGUCUGGCAGCCGGAGGUCGAGCCGUGCCUAUUCUGGACAAUCUCUCUUUGGAGAUUCCGGACAAGCAAAUGGUCGCAAUCGUCGGGCCAUCGGGCAGCGGGAAAUCGACUCUCCACGGAUUGAUGGCCGGCCUCGAUCGACCGACAUCUGGCUCCAUCCCGCUGGAUGGCCAGGAAUUGACGACCAUGUCAGAAAGUGCGCUGGCCCGUUUUCGAC
rnacentral:rRNA from 1 species